UUUGGAUCUGUUGCUGGAGAGCUAGUGUGAUCUUUUGGAGGUGCUAUAGAACCUUGUUUUGUCAUAUUACCAGAAUUUGUUUUCUAGUUCCUUCUCAUUUGAGUAGACUGUUUCAUUGGAAAGAUCUAGAACCCAAGGGCUACUGUUCAGAUUCUUUUGUCCAAUGGAGUGAUCCCUUGAUGGGGUGCUCUUCAUCUUCCCCUAAGGAUAAGGAUUCUUGAGAGCUGGACUGCAGUGGUUGUGCCCUUCUGUGUGUAGCCACCCAGUGGGGCUACCAGGCUCCAGGCUGGUACUGGUGAAUGUCUGCAGAAAGUCCUGUGAUGUGAUCUGUCUUUAGGUCUCUGAGCUGUGGAUACCAGCACCUGCUUUGGUGGAGGUAGCAGGAGAGUGAAGUGGACUCUGUGGGAGUCCCUGGUUGUAUUUUUGUUUAGUACACCUAUUUUCUUGAAUGCUGAUUUAUGCUAGCAGUGAAGUCAUGUGGACAGACUCAGGAUCUCUGGUUAGCCAGGAUGUUGCAGGCAGUGGAAUUAGCUGUUGUUUUCCCCUUUUUGGAGCAGGGUUGUUCUGUUACGAGUUUCUGUAGUGGCUUGAGUUGGUUGGCCUUCAGCCAGGAGGUGGUGCUUUCAAGAAAGCAUCAGCUGCGGUAGUAUAGUGGGGAUACAAGCUUGUCUGUGUUGACCAGGAUAAGAAUUUUGGUUUCUUAGGUAAUGGGCAGGGCCAUAGAACUCCCAAGAGUUUAUGUCUUUUGUCUUUGGCUACCACGGCAGGUAGAGAAAAACCAUCAGGUUAGGGCAGAGUUAGGUGGGUCUGAGUCAGACUUCCCUUGGGCGGAGCUUGCUGUGGCCACUGGGGAGGGGGUUGGAGGGUAGUUCUCAGGUCAAUGGAGUUAUGUUCCCAGGGGGAUUAUGGCUGCCUCUUCUGUGUCAUACAGGCUGCCAGGGAAGUAGGGGAAAGCCAGCAGUGACAGACCCUACCCAGCUGCCACACAGCCAGCAAGGCCAGUUUCACUCCUGCCAUGCCCCACCAUGGUUCCCCAGCGGGGAUGUAUGUUCAGAAGCCGACUUUUCCCCCUCUCACACUUUGGGAACUCACAGUUUUUUGGCUGUCUUGUGGAGUUUACAGCAGCAAGCCACUUCUUUCAAAGGUGAAUGAAUUUGAGCAUCUUUUAAAAUGUUUAUCGGCCAUUUUGGAUAGCUUCUUUUAUGAGGUGUGGUGGACACAGGCCUAUUCAUCAACAUGGCUGAGAGAGUCUACUUUGGGAUGCAGGAUGGCUCAGUGAACAUGAGGGAGAAGCCUUUCUGUUGACCCUGCAAGGAGCAGAGUGUGUUCACCUUGAGUCUCCAGCCCACAGCCAAGGUGAACGUACCUCUCCAGGAGCCUUUGCCUUAAUGUAUCUCUGCCAGGGUGGACAACUGGUGGCGGGGGGCGGGGGGGGGGCGGGGAGGGAGAGUGGGAGGGGGAGUUAAAUCGGUCUUAUGAAGUAUUGUUAUUAAAUGUCUUUUUAAAAAGAGAAAUAUAAACAUAUAUUUUUACUAUUAAAAUAUUCAGUUUUUUAAAAUAAAGUAGAACUUGAUUUCAUGUUUUAUAUGAAAUAUUUACCAAGAAAAAAAAAAAAGGGAGAGCUGAACUGUAUUUAAAACCUUUGACUUGAGUCUGCUGGUAAAGCUUCUGAAUAUUGGGUUUGCUGAGAAAUAAAAAUCAAAACUUCUUUAAGCUGUUAAAGUAAGGGCCCAGCCAGCAGUGAUCUCCUGAUGCCUUACUGGAAACUUUGUUUACUUGUCUGCUACCCUCUGUUUUGUUUUUAGUUAGUUUUCAUUGUGAGCACACAUAAUACCUAGUUACAUCUUAAGAUCAGGUUUAUAAAACUGUGGAGUGGAGCCGUAUGGUAUGGAAUGACUUGGAAUGUAAGCUAUCAGGGAGAAAAUGUGGUUAUACUUUUGCUAAGAUCUGGGGGUUUCUUCAUAUCCCUGCUGUUGGAAGCAGUUGACCAGAAAUGUUUGCCAGUACUGCCAAAGCACUGCUGUGAAAUGUGAAGUACUUUGUUUUUUUGUUUUUAAUGAUUUUCUUUUUGUUGUUAAUAUUUUUUUCUGUUCUUUUGUUAUUACUUGCAUGGUUUGGCGUCAGAAGUCCUUACCUCUUUAUAUUGUCUGCAGGUUUAAAUAAAACAGUGUGGUGCCAUUUUGA